GACGAACCGUCCAAACGUUAUUCGGAAUCACUGGGCUUACAGAGUUCGUAGGCGGUCUGGAAAGUUGGGUGUGAAAUCCCUCGGCUCAACCGAGGAACUGCGCUCGAAACUACCAGACUCGAGGGAGAUAGAGGAAAGCGGAACUGAUGGUGGAGCGGUGAAAUGCGUUGAUAUCAUCAGGAACACCGGUGGCGAAGGCGGCUUUCUGGGUCUUACCUGACGCUGAGGAACGAAAGCCAGGGGAGCGAACGGG
rnacentral:rRNA from 1 species